UGGGGAAUAUUGCACAAUGGGCGCAAGCCUGAUGCAGCAACGCCGCGUGAGGGACGACGGGCCUUCGGGUUGUAAACCUCUUUUAGUNGGGAAGAAGCGAAAGUACGGUACCUGCAGAAAAAGCACCGGCUAACUACGUGCCAGCAGCCGCGGUAAUACGUAGGGUGCGAGCGUUGUCCGGAAUUAUUGGGCGUAAAGAGCUCGUAGGCGGUCUGUCGCGUCUGCUGUGAAAACCCGAGGCUCAACCUCGGGCCUGCAGUGGGUACGGGCAGACUAGAGUGCGUAGGGGAGAAUGGAAUUCCUGGUGUAGCGGUGGAAUGCGCAGAUAUCAGGAGGAACACCGAUGGCGAAGGCAGUUCUCUGGGCCGUAACUGACGCUGAGGAGCGAAAGCGUGGGGAGCGAACAGAAUUAGAUACCCUGGUAGUCCACGCCGUAAACGUUGGGCGCUAGAUGUGGGGAGCCAUUCCACGGUUUCCGUGUCGCAGCUAACGCAUUAAGCGCCCCGCCUGGGGAGUACGGCCGCAA
rnacentral:rRNA from 1 species